rnacentral:rRNA from 1 species
GACGAACGCUGGCGGCGUGCCUAAUACAUGCAAGUCGAACGCUGAAGGAGGAGCUUGCUUCUCUGGAUGAGUUGCGAACGGGUGAGUAACGCGUAGGUAACCUGCCUGGUAGCGGGGGAUAACUAUUGGAAACGAUAGCUAAUACCGCAUAAUAGCAGUUGUUGCAUGACAACUGUUUGAAAGGUGCAAUUGCACCACUACCAGAUGGACCUGCGUUGUAUUAGCUAGUUGGUGGGGUAACGGCUCACCAAGGCGACGAUACAUAGCCGACCUGAGAGGGUGGUCAGCCACACUGGGACUGAGACACGGCCCAGACUCCUACGGGAGGCAGCAGUAGGGAAUCUUCGGCAAUGGACGGAAGUCUGACCGAGCAACGCCGCGUGAGUGAAGAAGGUUUUCGGAUCGUAAAGCUCUGUUGUAAGGGAAGAACGAGUGUGAGAGUGGAAAGUUCACACUGUGACGGUAUCUUACCAGAAAGGGACGGCUAACUACGUG